CACAUGGUUGGGACUCGUCACUGUGUGUUUUAUUACUGUACUUAGCCUUAUUUCACUUACCUUUGCUCAGAGCCCUGCAGUGGGAGUCUCCCCCAAGAUGCCUCUGUUUCUUGCCAUCCCAGAAGAGUCACGGGCCUCAGCAGCACAGAUCAUUGUGUCAUGGGAGCGGAGACAUAGAGGUUACCUCACCCACCUCAAGGCAGGAAGAACUGCUGGCUUACUCACCUGCUGGAGAGUUUGGAACCCGGCUGCAAGCGCUGCCUGAGCGGCCAUGAGACUGUGCUGAGAAACCACAGGCGGCAUGUGAAGCUUGAUCCUGUCACAUACCAUGGUACACACAUGUAGUCUGUGUGUGUGUGUGCAGAGAAAAGGACCUGAGAGAUACACAUAUUCCAGUGAGCACCAGUAACGGUGGGCACCCCCACGAGAAGGGUUGGUUUUGGGGUGUGGUAUUCAGGGAGGGAGACUCGUUGCACAGUGUACAUUUUUAUAGCAUAAGUGUUUGAAAUAAAAACUUCUAUGAAUACUUUUUAAAAAUAAAUUCUCCUUGGGAAUGUAAAA